UUGUCCUGGGACCAGGGGAUGAGCUGGGGUGAAGAAUAAAGAUGGGAGCGGAAAAAGAAAGGUGGCAUGCGUUGUGGGGACGGUAGCAGGGUGACCAGAAAUGUCCAGGAAAAAUCUUCCUGAAAUAACACGAAGUGAAAACCCAGUCCAGUGGAGAAGAGCAGGAAGAUGCAUCAACCAACCGUUGCACGACUGCAAAGUCUACCGUAUUGUAAGCCAUUGAAUCCCACGAAGGAGGACUGUGGAGCCUGCAUGAGGAUAUUCUGGUGAGGCCUGGCAGCUGCUGCAUUUCUGUGUUACAGAUUCUAAACCUGACGUUGACAGACUGGUCCAAACCAUAGAGGAAUGCAUCCCAGAACCCAGAAUGCCCCCUAAUAACAUCUCUCCUCCAUCAACAGUGGGACCUCCAUCUUCUGUCUUCUGAACUCCCAUCAGUAGCUGGAUUUGACUUUUUUGUUUGGUGUUGUUUUUAGUAGUUGGUAAUAGAUUGUAAAGUCAUCCAGUCUCUGGUCCAGGUUUCCCUUCCACUAACGCCACACAUGACAAAGACAGCCCGCUAGGCUUAGCAGCAGAGUUUAGGGGCAGAUAUUCUAAUUCUUUGGAAGCUGAUCAUCCACACAGAGUAUAACUUAUCAAAUCUAAUACAUGUAUUUUUAAAAUAAAACUUUCCCAGUCACACCAUUCUGGGUCACUGAGGAUUACUCCAAAUUAGUAUUAAUUAACUAGUCUAGAAUCAUUAAGGCAGCAUGGUCUCUCAAGACACUCUAAGGCCUUUGAUUCUGUACCUUUCUCUGUGAAACUACAAGUUUUUUUUUUUUUUUUUAAAUCUAUGCUUAUUUACCAAACAGCACAGCUACCCAUAAAGGUCCUGGGACUCCCUGGAGAAUGUUCCAACGCCAGUAGGAAAUGACAUGAUGGCUUCCUCUGGGAUUAGAGGGCCACAGGAUCUGGAAGUUUCCAGGUAUUGGCAGCAGAGACAUUUUCUCUGUGAAGAUUCUGGCAUGGCCGACAGAGGGUUAAAUUAUGAAGCCUGUUGGCUCCUGGUGCCUGCUAAGCCCUUUACCACUACUUCUGUGGCUAUACUGAAGGAGUCAGUUAGCAUUCCUAAAUUAUAGGAUUGGGACUUCAAGAGGUCAUUUUGCCCAUCCCCCUGCUUCUGGGCAGGACAGUACUUAAUUAUCUUGGCUCACAGAGCUCUCUCUGAAACCAAUUGAUGCAUAGAUGCAAUCAUUUGCCUCAGGGGAACAUGAU